rnacentral:lncRNA from 1 species
GAAUCUUCUGCUUUUAGUCUUGUCUUGGGCACCCAGUGACGGGUUCUUCUGAUCAUUAUUAUUAUUAUUGUCUGACCGUUUUCAUGAAAGCAACACCAAAGACCAUAGAGAUGUUCUGAGGAAGAUCACUAUAGUGCCUCAACUAGCUGGCAAAAUAAACAGCCAGGUUGCAGAACAACUGUUCUCAAAGAUGAGGAAAAACAACUAUUUUUUAAACAUGUCUCGGCCUUCUACUCAUUUGUUUCAAAUGAGAACCAUAAUUCACCACUACAAUGAAAAAAGGAACAAUAAAGUGAUGACCAAAUUAAGGAAGACUUUUGGAUCUAAGAUGGUGGUGAAUAUGCAUGGACAAGCUGUGUUGGGUGAAGAAAAAUACCUUAUAUGAAAUAUUAAACACUGUUUUUACAAUUGGUGGAAAGACAUUGGCCACCAAACAUAAUGUGUGUUUUGAAGUAACUGAGUUUUGGAUGUAACUUUAGAUUUGUUUGUAUUGUAACAGAAAACAUGAACAUCUCCAGUGAGGAAACCACAGAAAUUGAGAUGGAGGACACAACCCUUACAUCUGUGACAGUCCCAACCACAGAAAAUGAAAUGGUGUGUAACAUCAAACACCUGUCUGCAAAUAGAGUGUGCUGGGAUUGUCUACCAAGUCAUAGGCAAUCAGAAAUGCUUGACUGGGCCUUGAGAAUAGAGAACCCAGAUGAGACAAUUGCUGAAAUUGACAACAUUGUCCUGAAAAGAAAAGAUUUUUGGACGCUGGGUCUCAAUGAGCAGUUGGAGGCAACAAUUGCAAACAGCUGUCUUGAAGUGGUUGCAUUGGUGGCUAAAGAACAGGUAAGUUUGAUUAAAGCUGCUUUUCUGAAAUGGCUCAAGACAUAAUUGUGUAACUUGUGCUCACUUGUGCAAUGGUAUGUCACUGUAGGGAAUGGAUGUGUGGACAGCUGACGCAUAUGUUGUGGCUACCUGGUUACCUCCAAAUAAUUUGGACCCAUCACUGUCUUUUCCAGUAAGGCCAUAAAGUUACAUCACAUUCAUAAUACUGAAAAUGUAAUUUAAAUCUGACUUAAAAAAAACUUUUUAUUAAAAAAAAUGUAUUUUAAAAUUAUCUAUAGGAUCACAUUGCAUUCAAAGAUGCUAUUGUCUUUCCUGCUUGGAAGCCAGGACACUGGAUGUUGUGUGUAAGUUAUAUGGAAUUUGGUUACUAAAUAUAUAAUUGCAUCUGUAAAUUGCCUUCAUUUGUCUUGUCACAAUUCAAAAUUACCAUUGCACUAUUGCAACCUACUAACACACUGUUUUCCAGGUAAUGAAGCCAAAAGAUAGACAAAUCUACUUCUUAGAUUCAACCAAUCCCUAUGGGUUGGGUGAUGAGUGCUAUGUGCACAUUUUCAGGUUGCUUAAAUGUGAAAAUGUUCAUGGUUCGCUGUUCAUAAGGUUUGCCUUCAAAUGUUCAAAAUGUUGGCUUAAUGGUUAUUUGGAUGUUUGCAUGAUGUUCUGAAUUUGCGUGUGUGUGACAAUUGUUUUAUUUUCUGAAAGGCCCAGUUACUGGGGGCUACUGUUUUUGCAGAUUUUCUUUGUAUUCAUACUCUUUCAUAUGAACUUUGUUGUUAUUAUUUGUGUAUUUUUGUUUCAGUAAGAUGACAGCUAAAAUUGCACCUGGCACAUGGAUGCUACUAAAAAACAAGGUUAAUUUUGUAAUUGGGACAUAUGUCAAUCUCUUACACACAACCUAAAUAUUUUUCUUUUUCAUUUUUUUUUAAGGAUGUCCCCCAACAGAUUGGCUAUGUGGACUGUGGAUUUUCAUUCAGGGAAGACAUGGAGAUUUUUUUAGUUGAAUGCCAUGAAAAAAUGGGGUUAAAAUUGAAUUCUUCGUUUGAAGAGUGAAAAGUAUAAGACUUUCAAAAGCUUUUUUUUUUUUUUAUAUUACAAUUAAAUUUCUAAAUUUUAAUUUUAGUUCUAUUUUUGGUUGUUGAAAUGUUUUUUUUUUAUUAGUAUGUUGCACUUUUUCCAUGUUCAAUUUGAAUUUUAAAAUAAAAAGUAUUCUUGACAUCAAACGUC